UACGAAGGGUGCAAGCGUUACUCGGAAUUACUGGGCGUAAAGCGUGCGUAGGUGGUGAGUUAAGUCUGUCGUGAAAGCCCCAGGCUCAACCUGGGAAUGGCGAUGGAUACUGGCUCGCUAGAGUGCGGUAGAGGAGAGUGGAAUUCCCGGUGUAGCAGUGAAAUGCGUAGAGAUCGGGAGGAACAUCAGUUGCGAAGGCGGCUCUCUGGACCAGCACUGACACUGAGGCACGAAGGCGUGGGGAGCAAACAGG
rnacentral:rRNA from 1 species